AAUGAACGCUGGCGGCGCGCCUAAUACAUGCAAGUCGAGCGAGAAGACGUAGCAAUACGUUUGUAAAGCGGCGAACGGGUGAGGAAUACAUGGGUAACCUACCCUCGAGUGGGGAAUAACUAGCCGAAAGGUUAGCUAAUACCGCGUACGCUCCUUGGACUUCGGUUCAGGGAGGAAAGCGAUACCGUGGGUAUCGCGCUCUUGGUUGGGCUCAUGUCCUAUCAGCUUGUUGGGAGGUAACGGCUCACCAAGGCUUCGACGGGUAGCUGGUCUGAGAGGACGAUCAGCCACACUGGCACUGCGACACGGGCCAGACUCCUACGGGAGGCAGCAGUAAGGAAUAUUGCGCAAUGGGCGAAAGCCUGACGCAGCGACGCCGCGUGGGGGAGUGAA
rnacentral:rRNA from 1 species